AAAACAGAGGUCCCGUGAACGUCGCAUGAUACCAGGUAAAACCAAGUGGACGGUUCUUCAAAAGGCUGAGACGUAGACAAAUAAACACGAUAAAAAAAAAAGUUUGAUAAAACUAAAUUAAACAUGAGAACGGAAUCAAGUUUGUUUUCUAAAUGUUCCUGCUGGUGUUUGUAGUUCUUCUGGGGACAGUAGUGACGGUAAACAGCGCUCAACCUGAUGUGGAGCUGUUUUCAGAGGUUGUUGAUGUCGGUGCAGAGACUGAUAGUCACAGGCUGUUGGUGUGUAGAGCCAAAGCCUUCAAAACAACUGACAUCAUACUGAACAUUAAGAAGAAACGCUGUGUUCAGACUAAAGAGGACGGAGUGGAGACUUCAGGAGUUAAACCAGAUGACGACAAAACCUUCAGUAGAAUUGACCAUGUGAUCAUUCCUCCUUCCAUAGUGUCUGAUUACAGCUGUGAAGUCAGUCAUGCUGCAUCUCGUUUCCGUGUUGAGAAGGUUUGGGAUCCUGACUUUGAUGGAGGACGGAUCAUAUCAUCUAAGUUCAUAGACACAACUCCUCCUGAUGUGUUCGUGUUUCCGAAGAACUCUACAGUUCCGACCAACAUCAUUUUGACGUGUCUGGUCUCAGGCUUCUACCCAAACAACAUCACUCUGAAUAUGAAGAGGAACGGCCGUAUUCUAACCGGAGAGGACGGAGUGAAGAGUUCAAGAGUUUGUUCAAAUGAAGUCGACACCUUCCAGAGAAGAGACUCUGUGGAGAUUAAAAAAUCAGACAAGUCUGAUUUCAGCUGUGAAGUCAGUCAUGCUGCAUCUGGUUCACGAGUUGAGAAGUUUUGGGAUCAACGUGCUCCUCCUCCUCCUCCUCAUUCUGAUGGAGACAAGACUGGUGUCAUCAUUGGUCCAGUGGUAGGAGUCCUGCUCCUGGUUGUGGUGCUGGUGGUGGUUUUGAGGAGACGACGCAUCCUUGGUAGGUUCAGAGUUGUGUAUCUUCACUGUGUUCAACAACAUCAAUGACUGUAGGUCCUGUAAUCCAGAGUUGUCUGUAGUGUAUUUACACCAAGAUUCCACAGAAUCUUUUCCUCCAGAAGAACAAUGGAGUGAGUCUGUUAUCAGAGCUCUGUUAUUAUUGGACUGUGGACAAGUACAAGUCCUUCAAUACAACAACUUCUACCAUCAACCAUCACUUCAUUCUCUCUGUUUAUUUACAGGAGCAAUUGCCAGACGCAGAACAAUCUUCACCCCAGGGAUACCACUGCGGGCUAUGGUUUCUACACGAGCCUCAACAGCCACAGAACAGGAUAAUUAUUCCAUCAGUGAACUAUCCACCUCCUCUCAUCAGAUCUAACUACCACGGCCUCACAUUGUUUCUUCUCUAAUUAUGAUGAAACUAUCAGAUCGAACUACAGUCACUAGUCCUGUGUAGGAGAACAUUUUAUUUCUCCCCUGACCCACCAGGAGGGGUCACUUCGUGGGACAGUCCAUGCUGGACAGGACUGUUGUUGUUUCCUUUGCAGAUUUCUGAGACUAUAAAACAAAGCCAUAAAACAAGCUUUUAAGCACAUUCCUGUGCCAACAAACAAGAAUUUGGUACUUUUCCCCAUGUUUGUGUAAUCACGAACAGACACCACAGAUAAAAACGAUGUAAAUAAUUCAGAACUACAAGAUCUUUCUCUGACUAGAACUACAAACUACUAAAUGUACACUUGUAACCAAAAUUACAAUGUUUAAUCUAUACUCAGCUUGUGAUUUGUGUCAAUUUACAGUUUUGUUAAUUUUUCUAACCCAAAAGUUGAUCAAGUUAGAUGAAAGUAUUUUUGAUCAUAACAAGUAAUACUGUUAUAGUGUUUUAAUAUGUCUAUAAUCUUCGAAGCAAGACUAGUUAGCCUAGCCAAAAUAUGAUCUACCUUUCCUUCUUAUUGAUAUUAGUCAGUUAACUCUCAGUUUUUGUUAAGUUCUCUCCUGGCUCAGUUAUGUUCUUAUUGAGUCUCUAUUCAGUUCUGUUCUCUCUUAGUUCUUGCUCACUUCUUUUUAGAGCUCAGUUUUCUUCUGAGUUGUUUUUGUCUUCGUGAUACUUGUUACUUUUAACUCGAAGUUUCUAUUGCCUGCCAGUUGGCAUGUUUAAGUUUUAUUUUUGAAUCAAUCUCGCCACAUUUAACGCGCAACUUUUUCAAAUUACAAGCUGAAUUUUAUUUUAACUGUCAAGACAGUCACGCAUUAAUAAUAUUUUUGAAGAUAUUUUUUCGACCGGCCAUCGGAAGUAUUUUUCAAUUCCAUCACUGACAAUUUUUUAACACACACCAUCAGACUCUGCUCCACAGAAACUUCACAGUUGUCCACUUUGUCUACAUAACACUGAGAAAGACUCCAGCUGUAACCGACUGUAACUGAGAUCUGCAUGACAGUCCAUCAAUCUGCUCUCAACGCUUCAGUACCGCUGCUUAUUUCCCGACGAUACCACUGUGAAAGAUCGAGCUCACCAGCAGAGUUGAUCGUGUUAUAACUAAAGAAACCUUAAACAAAUCUGAAUAAUUAGGUUCCUUUGCGUUCUCUUUUUUGUUCAUUCUUCUCACUUUCGCUAAACUCAUUUACUUCGGUAUUCUCAUCAUUUUCCAUUACUCUGUUAUAUUAUUCAUCAUAUUAUUUAUUAUUCACUAUUCACCAUUGUAAAUAAACCACAUGCUUGACUUAAGAUGUUGUCAGAAGGUCCUUGUGAGCUUGAAACAGAUGAUCCCUGAACUAAGAGCUGAUGCCUCAGAUGAUGAGAUUGAUUUUUUACUAAUAAUUAAUAUUGACCCAAUAUUAAUUGAUUCAUUCUCACAGUGUAUUCAUAAUCUGUGAGUGGUACCCAAUCGACGAGUGCAGUUAUUAGACUUAAUUGUCUAAUAACUUAUUUCCACAACACCUGUUUCAGAACAGAAUUGAUGGAGAAUAUAUUCAUUAAAACACGGCACAGCUGCACAAAAACUUAUUGUUUUAGACGUUCACUACAUGAGAUGUAGAAACAUCAAAGCUUCUUUAAUUUAAAUACUCUUUAAUGGUAAAUGAUUUUUUUUUUAUUGUUAAAAUCAUGAUGAUCAGGUGUGCAUCUUUUUAUAUUCAGAUUUUUACAUUUUACCUCUUUCAAGUGUGGAUGGUGCUUUUUUUUUUAUUUUGUUUUUGUUUUAUCAUUAGUCAUUAAAAAUAAAUAAAUGUGGUUUAUUAUACGAUGACAAGGAUUAUAAAACUUCUGAAGUAUAUGUGACCUUUGUAUAGACCUGAACGCUGGACAUAUGGACAUAAGUGAUUGAGAGUCUUUUAUAAUUAUGUCCAGAUCAAGUCGACUCGUCAUCAUUUUUACUACCUGACACUUAUUUCAAAAAGGAAAGAUGUUUUAAUCUCUAAUUUAAUUAAACUACUGGAUCAGUCAUGGUGGAAAUCUGUUUUAUUAUCAGUCAAUUAAACCUCCUUUGUAGUUUUA